GCUUCGCUGUAAAGUACCGUUUGCAAAUGUGUUGUAGCAGAACACAGCGUCACAAGAUGUUAGUAGCGUGCCUACUGCUGUCCAGAGCUCGGUAGGCCGGUUAGUUCGUAAACGGUAUUCUGUUCACAGAUAAACUAAAGCUCUGUCCUUCUGUGUGAGCCGUGGCGACUUCUGUUGCGGGCACACCGAAUACAUUUGUCUGUAGGCAUCUGCAACGGUUUCGUGCAGAGACACAAGGCGAUAAUCGACGACGGAGUUCCGGAUGACGCUUAUCCCGGUAUCGCCAAUGUUCACGAGAACCUUCCCAACGGCCCGAUCACUGGAAUGCUGAACAGUCAAAAGCAAAAGGUUCGGCUCACGCUCAGACUUGAAGAGGAUCAGUUCUGGAUCAGCACAAAAGAUACGACAGAGAAAUAUUCCAUGAGUAAAGUCUUGACCGUGGUCAGCCAACCCAUCGAGGGUCACGAAGAGUAUCACAUAAUGUGCAUCGUGACCGGAAUGUUCUCGGACGUCGUGUGGUUGUACUGGGUGCCGGCCCAGUUCGUGAGAGCCAUCAAGAAAACAAUGCUGAGACGCGGCUAGCUCCCGCGUUCCUCUCCACGUUCGCCAACGAAGCUUCCCGAAGACUGGAGGAGCGAGACUGGAGUGAGCUGCGUAUACGAAAGCAGCCACCGAGACCCAUAUCCAACGGCUUUCUUCAAAUUACUCUUGUAGGCGCCUUGAGCGUGCACGGAGACGAAUGCGACAACGGAGAGCCGCGUACGUGGGGAGGCUACGGACGAAGAUGGGGCGCUGACGUGGAAGAAAUGUGG